UACGUAGGGUCCGAGCGUUGUCCGGAAUUAUUGGGCGUAAAGGGCUCGUAGGCGGUCUGUUGCGUCGGGAGUGAAAACUUACAGCUUAACUGUGAGCGUGCUUCCGAUACGGGCAGACUUGAGGUAUUCAGGGGAGAACGGAAUUCCUGGUGUAGCGGUGAAAUGCGCAGAUAUCAGGAGGGACACCGGUGGCGAAGGCGGUUCUCUGGGAAUAUCCUGACGCUGAGGAGCGAAAGUGUGGGGAGCGAACAGG
rnacentral:rRNA from 1 species